AACGAACGCUGGCGGCAUGCCUAACACAUGCAAGUCGAACGAGACCUUCGGGUCUAGUGGCGCACGGGUGCGUAACGCGUGGGAACCUGCCCUUAGGUUCGGAAUAACUCCCCGAAAGGGGUGCUAAUACCGGAUAAUGUCUUCGGACCAAAGAUUUAUCGCCUUUGGAUGGGCCCGCGUUGGAUUAGCUAGUUGGUAGGGUAAAAGCCUACCAAGGCGACGAUCCAUAGCUGGUCUGAGAGGAUGAUCAGCCACACUGGGACUGAGACACGGCCCAGACUCCUACGGGAGGCAGCAGUAGGGAAUAUUGGACAAUGGGCGAAAGCCUGAUCCAGCAAUGCCGCGUGAGUGAUGAAGGCCUUAGGGUUGUAAAACUCUUUUACCCGGGAUGAUAAUGACAGUACCGGGAGAAUAAGCUCCGGCUAACUCCGUG
rnacentral:rRNA from 1 species